CGCUGGCGGCGUGCUUAACACAUGCAAGUCGAACGAUGAACCUCACUUGUGGGGGGAUUAGUGGCGAACGGGUGAGUAACACGUGAGUAACCUGCCCUUGACUCUGGGAUAAGCCUGGGAAACCGGGUCUAAUACUGGAUACGACCUUCUGGCGCAUGCCAUGUUGGUGGAAAGCUUUUGUGGUUUUGGAUGGACUCGCGGCCUAUCAGCUUGUUGGUGGGGUAAUGGCCUACCAAGGCGACGACGGGUAGCCGGCCUGAGAGGGUGACCGGCCACACUGGGACUGAGACACGGCCCAGACUCCUACGGGAGGCAGCAGUGGGGAAUAUUGCACAAUGGGCGCAAGCCUGAUGCAGCGACGCCGCGUGAGGGAUGAAGGCCUUCGGGUUGUAAACCUCUUUCAGUAGGGAAGAAGCCGGCCCUUUGGGUUGGUGACGGUACCUGCAGAAGAAGCGCCGGCUAACUACGUGCCAGCAGCCGCGGUAAUACGUAGGGCGCAAGCGUUAUCCGGAAUUAUUGGGCGUAAAGAGCUCGUAGGCGGUUUGUCGCGUCUGCCGUGAAAAUCCGGGGCUUAACCCCGGAUCUGCGGUGGGUACGGGCAGACUAAAGUGCAGUAAGGGAGACUGGAAUUCCUGGUGUAGCGGUGAAAUGCCCANAUAUCAGGAGGAACACCGAUGGCGAAGGCAGGUCUCUGG
rnacentral:rRNA from 1 species